rnacentral:rRNA from 1 species
UACGUAGGGGGCAAGCGUUGUCCGGAUUUAUUGGGCGUAAAAGGCUUGUAGGUGGCCACGCCAAGUCGGAUGUGAAAUCUCCCGGCUCAACUGGGAGGGGUCAUUCGAUACUGGUGGGCUCGAGGCCGGUAGGGGGAAGUGGAAUUCCCGGUGUAGUGGUGGAAUGCGCAGAUAUCAGGAGGAACACCAAUAGCGAAGGCAGCUCGCUGGGACGUUACUGACACUGAGGCGCGAAAGCGUGGGGAGCGAACAGG